CUAAUAAAUUGGCACGUUAGCACGUUAUUGCAAUAUCCCAUAGUACAUACAUGUUAUUAAAACUUGAACUAAUGCAUUGUGAGUCUUAUAAAUUGCUUACAUACCUCACCGAUUUCCCACUGUCUGGAAAACGCUCGGUUUAGUUCCUGUCUCCGCCUCCCAAAAUGUCUAGUGUAAUCGGAUUGGUCAGAUGACUACUCAACUGUUAUUGGUCAGCUGGGUUCGGCGUGUGUUUGAAAGGUUACGCCCCUGACUACGCGUGGGUUGACACAGAUUCUGACUGAGAGUCACAGCCUCAGAGGCAACGUAAACAAGCGCUAUAUUUCUCUAUAAACGAUGGUGUCUGUACUGCCUUACCACUUCGAGCUCGAUCCAGAGAGUUCAGAAGGCCGUUACGAUAUAAACGAUCUCCGUCAAUGAAUGCGAUUGGAUUUAACUUUUUUAGGUGUCCUUAGCUCUGCCAGAAUGCUAAACGAAGACGAAAAUGUGUUGCAAAGACAUCCAAAAGGUUUUAAGGAGAAUGUAACAGGUUCCAGGGCCUCUUACCUGCGUGAUUCAUCAUCCAGGUUUUGCACAAAUUGUCUAAAUCCCUACACACAGAACAUUUAUUGUACCGACUAUAAGCCUUUGAGGUGCAGGACUAGAAUACGCUUGGAGCUUCCUGAUCGGAAUGUUGGCUUCCGACGACCCCUGCACUGAAGAUGGCAUGCAAUCACGUCCUCCUUUGAAGGUCUCUCAAACUGUGAUGCCAGGUCCAUUG